rnacentral:rRNA from 1 species
AGAGCGAACGCUGGCGGCAGGCCUAAUACAUGCAAGUCGAACGGCUCUUCGGAGCAGUGGCGGACGGGUGAGUAACGCGUGGGAAUGGUGCCCUUUGGUACGGAACAACUGAGGGAAACUUCAGCUAAGUACCGUAUGUAGCCCUUCGGGGGAAAGAUUUAUUGCCAUUGGGAGCAGGCCCGCGUUGGAUUAGCUAGUUGGUGGGUAAAGGCCCACCAAGGCGACGAUCCAUAGCUGGUCUGAGAGGAUGAUCAGCCACACGUGGGACUGAGACACGGCCCAGACUCCUACGGGAGCAGCAGUAGGGAAUCUGCGCAAGUGGGCAAAGCCUGACGCAGCCAUGCCGCGUAGAAUGAUGAAGUCUUCGGAUUGAAAGCUAACGUUUAAGGUGGGAAGGUAAGGGUU